rnacentral:lncRNA from 1 species
GUGACAGAACUGAUUAGCAGCCACGCCUGUGUAUCAGGACCUCCUCCAAACCCCAAUGUCUCCUGUCUCAGCAGAGCAGCAAUUCCAAGAAAGAAAAGGAUGCCUUGGAGGACAAGAAGAGAAAGCCCAUCCUCAAAUACAUUGGGAAGCCCAAAAGCUCUUCUCAAAGCACAUUUCAUAUUCCCUUGUCCCUGUGGAAGUCAAACCAGGCAGUGUGAGGAACAUCAUUCAGCACUUUGAGAACAAUCAGCAGGAUGACGCCCCAGAACCUGGGACACAGCGACUCUCGACUGGAAGCUUUCCCGAGGACGGGACUUGCCAGCUGCUCAAAGAGUACGGCCUGGGCGGGGCCUGUCUCUUAUACACAUCUAGAUGUGUAUAAGAGACAGCUCACAGUACUAGAGUCUGAUUCUGUAGUGAUGGAGGCCAGAGAAGGGCAGAAAGGACAGGAAGGAGAGACAGAGAGAAACAGAAAUAAUGAACUCUAAAAUUCAUUUAAAUUUGAGAAACACCUGAUAUAUUUUGGCAACAUGGUCAAAUUACAUGUAGAUGUGCUUUGGUCUUCCUGGCUAUUUUUUUAAACUGUAUGUGGCCCUUAGGAAAAACCUAAUUGUGACUUUCAAGCAGAAGUAUUAUUGUAAUAAUAUGAGAGCCAAAAGAACAUUUAUGGAAAAUAGACUUCCAAACCUU